CUCCUGAAAUGGUACAACAAAUGAUCAUUUAUACUUUUUUUGCUUUGGGCUCUCAGAAAUUAUGAUGGAAAUCUUAAAAUUAACACCACUGAUGGCAGUUCUCUGCCUAUCAGUGCUAUUGGAUCAAGUGUCAGGGAAGAUGAUCGCGAAGGGGCCUAAAGUGGGAUGACUCUUUCCUCUUCACGUUUUUCCUUCCACUAUCAUUCCUAGUUUUCCUUUACUUUCCUUUACAUGUAAUGUUGUUGGUUCUGGAAAUAAGAUGUGGCAUAUACGUU